CAGUCGCCGCGGGAAUACGGAGGGUGCAAGCGUUAUCCGGAUUUAUUGGGUUUAAAGGGUCCGUAGGCGGAUCUGUAAGUCAGUGGUGAAAUCUCACAGCUUAACUGUGAAACUGCCAUUGAUACUGCAGGUCUUGAGUAAAUUUGAAGUGGCUGGAAUAAGUAGUGUAGCGGUGAAAUGCAUAGAUAUUACUUAGAACACCAAUUGCGAAGGCAGGUCACUAAGAUUUAACUGACGCUGAUGGACGAAAGCGUGGGGAGCGAACAGGAUUAGAGACCCGAGUAGUCCCUGUCUCUUAUAC
rnacentral:rRNA from 1 species